rnacentral:rRNA from 1 species
AACGAACGUUAGCGGCGCACCUAACACAUGCAAGUCGCACGAGAAAGGGCUUCGGCCCCGGUACAGUGGCGCACGGGUGAGUAACACGUGGAUAAUCUUCCCUCUGGCGGGGGAUAACCUUCCGGAAGGAGGGCUAAUACCGCAUAAGACCACGGCCUCGAAAGAGGCUGCGGUAAAAGCAGGCCGCUAUACAUAAGCUUGCACCUGAGACUGAGUCCGCGGCCCAUCAGCUAGUUGGCGGGGUAAUGGCCCACCAAGGCGAAGACGGGUAGCUGGUCUGAGAGGAUGAUCAGCCACACUGGAACUGAGAUACGGUCCAGACUCCUACGGGAGGCAGCAGUGGGGAAUCUUGCGCAAUGGGCGAAAGCCUGACGCAGCGACGCCGCGUGAGUGAUGAAGGCCUUCGGGUUGUAAAGCUCUGUGGGGAGAGAAGAAUAAGUGUUGGCUAAUAUCCAGCAUGAUGACGGUAUCUCCUUAGCAAGCACCGGCUAACUCUGUGCCAGCAGCCGCCGUAA